AUUAUUUAGUACUUCUAUGUAUGUUUUCUAUAUAAUAUUCACCAUUCUACUACUACCUCCUUUUUCUCUUUUAUUUCUUAGUUUUAUACAUCCUUUAUUAGAGGUAUAACUUCUAACUACUUUAUUUCCCAAGCAUUUAGCCAACUAUUUUCCAAACUAUUUUGCAAUUUUAAUCUCUUGGGCAAGUGAUUUUUCUGACUUCUCCAACUUUUCUUUUGCUCUUGACCAAGUGUAAUGUAUUGAACUGAAUUGUAUUUUUCUAUUUUUUUCUCUUACCUCAAACAUGGUUACAAAAUGGUUAGUUGUAUCAUUCUCUCUGGGAGGUCUGCUACUCAACUUUCUUGGCAGACUGUUAGCAAAGAAGUGGGAGAUGAGGAAAUGAUGGAAAUGAAAACAAGAUUAACUAUGAUAAACUUGACUCUUAAAGGAAGAAGGGUAAUAGCAUAAUCAUUGCAAGAUGUAGGAAAAAUCUCAUAAAAUGUUGUUGUUUAUGUUGUUGUUAUCAUUGUCGUCCUUGUUCUGGUCCCCUGGGAGCUUGCAUGGCUAGAUGGUGACUUCAUGAUCUCCUUCACUCACUUACAUAAACAACAUACUUCACCACCACUGAUCAAAACACGUUUUCUUAUGAUAAUGGCCAAGCGAUCCCAACAAAACUAUAUAUAUAUAUAUAUACAUACACAUAUAAAAUGGUAAUUGCAAAAGAACAUGCUCAUUACUUCUUGCUCAUGCUUCUAUAAGAAGCUGUCAUAUUACUACAUCAAUAAUCUAUUCUGUCUUAUAUACAUAAAUAUUAAAUGAUAUUAGCAAAAGAACACUCUCAUUACAGAAUGUGAUAGCCUCUAUAGAAAUGUUAUGAACAAACGAUGGAAAAGAAGCCACAGAAUUUUAUUUAUUUUUUAUUUUUUACUUUUUAUUUUGUAGUUAUUUAUUUAUUUAUUUAUUUAUUUAUUUUUGAGAUGGAGUCUCACUCUGUUGCCCAUGCUGGAGUGCAAUGGCACGAUCUUGGCUCACUGCAACCUCUGCCUCCCGGGUUCAAGUGAUUCUCCUGCCUCAGCCUCCUGAACAGCUGCGAUUACCGGCGCGCACCACCAUGCCCAGAGAUAUUAAGGCAGAGAGCAGUUAAAUAAAUUGCCAAAAAUUCUCAACAGGGACAAGGUCUUGCUAUGUUGCCCGGCCUGGUCUCAAACUCCUGGGCUCAAGCAACCCUCCCCAGUCCUGCCACCAUAGCCUCCCAAAGCCCUGGGAUUACAGGUGUAAGCUGCAAGAACUUCUUGAAAGGCAAUUCAACAUAGUGUUUAAAAGCAUGCAGGAGUCCUGGGUUCAAAUCUCCAUUCCAGCUCUAUCCAGGCCUCUGAGCCCAAGCUAAGCCAUCAUAUCCCCUGUGACCUGCACAUAUACAUCCAGAUGGCCUGAAGCAACUGAAGAUCCACAAAAGAAGUGAAAAUUGCCAGUUCCUGCCUUAACUGAUGACAUUCCAGCAUUGUGAUUUGUUCCUGCCCCACUCUAACUGAUCAAUUAACUUUGUGACAAUACACCCUCCCCACCCUUGAGCAGGUACUUUGUAAUAUCCUCCCCCCACCCACUGCCCUUAAGAAGGUACUUUGUAAUAUUCUCCCCACCCUUGAGAAUGUACUUUGUAAGAUCCACCCGCUGCCCACAAAAAAAUUGCUCCUAACUCCACUGCCUAUCCCAAACCUAUAAGAACUAAUGAUAAUCCCACCACCCUUUGCUGACACUCUUUUUGGACUCCGGCUGCCUGCACCCAGGUGAUUAAAAAGCUUUAUUGCUCACACAAAGCCUGUUUGGUCAUCUCUUCACACGGACACACAUGACAUUUGGUGCCGAAGAGCUGGGACAGGAGGACUCCUUCAGGAGACCAGUUCCCUUGUCCUUGCCCUCACUCCAUGAGGAGAUCCACCUAUGACCUCGGGUCCUCAGACCAACCAGCCCAAGGAACAUCUCACCAAUUUCA